GUGGGCUCCAUACUGCGACCGCGCACUAGAAC
rnacentral:scRNA from 1 species